rnacentral:rRNA from 1 species
UGGAGAGUUUGAUCCUGGCUCAGAACGAACGCUGGCGGCAGGCUUAACACAUGCAAGUCGAGCGCCCCGCAAGGGGAGCGGCAGACGGGUGAGUAACGCGUGGGAAUCUACCGUGCCCUACGGAAUAGCUCCGGGAAACUGGAAUUAAUACCGUAUACGCCCUACGGGGGAAAGAUUUAUCGGGGUAUGAUGAGCCCGCGUUGGAUUAGCUAGUUGGUGGGGUAAAGGCCUACCAAGGCGACGAUCCAUAGCUGGUCUGAGAGGAUGAUCAGCCACAUUGGGACUGAGACACGGCCCAAACUCCUACGGGAGGCAGCAGUGGGGAAUAUUGGACAAUGGGCGCAAGCCUGAUCCAGCCAUGCCGCGUGAGUGAUGAAGGUCUUAGGAUUGUAAAGCUCUUUCACCGGAGAAGAUAAUGACGGUAUCCGGAGAAGAAGCCCCGGCUAACUUCGUGCCAGCAGCCGCGGUA